GGCGGAGGGAAGCUCCCUGCAGUCUAAACCGUGGAAGGGCGCUGCAGCCGCCCACGCACCUGUUGUGUGUGGGUGCAGUGUGGUGUGGCUGGUGAAAGGCUCGACUCUCCAAACCUGGACUAAAUUCCUGGGGCAGCUAACUUCCAGACCCACUUGGCACUCCAUUCGGCCGCCCACUCGGGAAGGGAGGCGCGGGGAGAGCACGACCAGGCAGGCCGCCAAGUGUGUUACCUCUGGCCAGAGAGCGCCUCCCUUCCAUCUUUGAUGUUCUGCCCCUUGGCACCAGCACCCUUGAAUCACCCUGACUGAGAAUCUUUGAGUCACAUUUGACGCAGACUUUUCCUGAUGGAAGGGGCCCUGAACUCGUGGGGGACACCCACCACUCUCUUUACAGAUAAGAAAACUGGCCCAGAGAUAGUGAAGUGACUAAGGAGGGGGUACAGAGCGUACAUCCAGGAGAGCCAGGAACAGGGACUAGAACUUGUGUGUCCCAUCCCCGUGUAUCCAUGUUGGUGAAAGCUAACAUUUACUGAGCUCUAUACACGUUCCCGCAUGGAUCCAGACAUUUUAUAAUACUGUCUUCAACUGGAACGACUCUAAGAAGUUAUGAGUUUGGGGCAUACCUAAGAAAGAUCUUCCAUCCUCCAAGAUCUCUUUUACCAAAGUCCUGUGCUUGCUUCUUCUGAAGGGAGGAAAUAGAGACCAUGGCCACUGGAUCCGGACCCAGACCCACCAGCAGCACUGCCACCUCCAGCCAUUCCCAGGCACCACAGGAUACAGAAAACUUUGAUCCCCUGAGUCAUGGGGUCAGACCAGGGACCUUGCUUAUAGGAGUCUAAAGGCCUUAUUGGAAUGCAGAGAUUCACUUCUGACCAAGGGGGAAAAAUAAGAUAAGGGGAAUCCAGUGAUAAGGAAGAUCUGCUGGCUAUUCUGGGAACAUUUUUGGGUCAGCCUGACCCAGAACCAGGCAUCCCUACAUCUCCUGAGAGCCCAAUGAUCUUGUCCACACCCACAGCCUCACAUACUUCUUGUGUGUUGAUGAGUUCCAGAUUUGUAUCUCCAGUCCCUACAUCUGAGCACAGGAGCUGGAAUCAAGGUAUCUGGUAGGGGUGGUCUAGCCUGGGUCCCCUUGCAUCCCAGAUUCUGCCAGCCUCCUACUCUGCAUUCGUGCUGCUCAUCUCCUGGGUGUUAGGAAGAAACCUCAGGGGGGCCUUCGCUCUGCCUUCCCUCCAUCACCUCUAAGAUACACUGGUUUCUGCUGAACGCUUUCCACAGUUCAUCAUCGUUGCUUAUUGAUCAUGAGAACAAUGAUGGCAGAAACCAUGCCUGUCUUAUCCUCCACUCGGUUUCCAGCACCCAGCAAGUUCAUGGACCAUCGUCGACACCUAACCAAUACUUGCUGAAUGAAAAAUUGGAAGGAAAAUAUGUGACUUCUUAAACAGUUUCAAGUGUAGUUAACAGAGAGAAAUACCAAAUGUACCGUCAAGUGUCAAAAUCAUGGUUGCUUGGAACUGGAAAGUUUGCUGGAGAAAAGAAAUAGAUGAUAAAGGUGGAAUCAGGAAUUACUGGUAAAGGAAAAGAUUUAGUCUGUGCAUGGUCUGGGGAAACCAGCUACCAACAAAGAAAAAAAUAACCGACAUCUUUUCCUCACAUUGUAUACCAUGAACUUUCCAGAUGAACCGAGGAGCUUUCAAAACCUUGGAAACACUGAACUAUUUAUCUCAUCUCUGGAAGGAAGUAGGUUUCCAUCUUAGAAGCAACAGAAGCAGUUAGCAAGGAGAAGGUUAACUGGACUGUAGAAGUAUUUUAAACUUUUUCAUGUUAAAAAAAAAAAAAGUAAAAGGCAACCCAAAUAAAAAGGGCAAACAAACCAGGGAAAUAUUUGCAGUCAACUGCCACAAGAACUUCCAUAAAUUUAUUUUAAAAGAACACGGAGACCCCAGUGAAUAAACAGGCAGAGUAUAUAGCAUAUAGUUUCCAAAAGAGAAAAGACAGAAGGAUGCUUAAGAUUAAGGAUGCUUAAUUUUGAUAAGUGUAAGGAAGAAGAGGUUCAUGGUAGCCAAAGGAGUCCGGGAAAAUUCCACAGGGGAGGUGGAGUGCGGGCUCAUUCUCACAGAUAUGGACUGACCAAGAUGGAGGGAAGAGAUGCCAUGCAUUUGGGUGGCCUUUCCUGCUUGCUAGAAUCUCCUGGCUUCCCUCUGAAUUUGCAAGGCUUUUGCAGCCUGAAGCUGGAUGGUCCCCCUUAGUGUCUCUCCAGCCACCAUCAUCCAUCUGUAAUGGAAACAGCUUUUCUUCAUGGGGACAAACCACACGGAAGCUUGGGGAGGUGUGGCAGAGGGGUGUUCUGGAAGAAUGCUCUGGCCAUGAGGGUAGGGAGAUAGCUAAGGACCCUGACUCCCCUGUCUCACCUUCCCACAAACUUAGGGUAUUCAGACCUAAAAACCAGCUGCUUGCCCACCCCUACCUCCAACUCCUACCUGGGGUUGAACUGCUCAUCUUUUUUUAACAGCUCUUUUGGGAAGGUGGGCAAAACUUGGCUUUAAUUCCUCCAAGUAGAGCUCAACUAGCAAUAUCAUUUUAGAGUCUUUUCUUUAUAUGACUUUUAAUAAAUAUCUUUAAAAAAUUAUGCAGGCAAUACAUAUUCAUGGGAGAAAGUACAAAUAUAGCCGGCAUUUCUGAGAGUUUUUAUGAAGAGGAGAGAGCAAGAGAAAAUAGAAAACAGAAAUAGUUCACUACCAGUCAGAUGUCCAAGGGCAGCAUGCGCGUCCAGUAGUCAGGAGCCGCUGCUCUGCCACGAGGCCUUCCAGGCCCCUGGGCUGCUUCCUCUCCUCCCUGCUCCAGACCUGUGAGGUCUGGGUCCCUCCAUUUCUUCACACGGGAGAGGUCUCCAGGACACGAAAGCCUGAUUCAUCCUUUGCUGCUCCUUUCCGCCAGCCUCCCACUCAGCUGUCUCCCUGGUCUAAGGAACUAGACUCAUUCUCAGCCGUGUGCAUCAGCCAUUCUCAAUCUUUUCUCCUCCCACCAUGUGUGAUGGAUGGCAUCCAUAUUCAUACACGCUCUCAAAGGUUAAACCCAAUUUUAUGGAAACCUGGACAGGAUUUUUGCAGGAAAUGGAAGUUGGUGGUAAAAAUAACUGUUACAUCUCAAUGCGAUACGAUGACUUGAAAUUGGCAUGACUUCUGGCAUGUUAGCAGUCUGCCCACUCCUGGCUACUGUGUGUGUGGCACAGGCUUUGGAGAAGCAAUUCCUGAGUCCUGGCUGUGACACCACCCCUUUUUCUUCUGAAUUAGUGAGGGUGACAUUAUUAUAAGGAUAAGUCACCACCGAGCCUCAUGCAUCUAUUUUAUAGCGAUUAUUGUGUUGAAUUGUGUAUUUCCCCCAUUAAACUUUUCCGUUAGUUGUUGUAUCCCUAGUGCCCAGCACAAUGCCUGACAUUUAUCCAUGCAGACUGAUUGAACAGGUGAGGGAAGUCUGCAUGCCUCCUACCCCAUCUCUAAGAAACCCUGCCUUCCCUUUAUGCCUCCCUCCCUACCCAGCUGGUACUACCAGCAGCUCUCGGGGGCUACAUUUUCUUAAACUUAGUUUGCUUUCAUGUUUGGCCUGUUGGCACUAGUUUAUCAUGCCAGCCCUGACUUGUUGGCCCUGUUUCCUGGGCUCCUUUACCCAUUUUUUGUCUUUUCCAGUCAUCAGGAGUCCUUGAGAUAUUCUCAAGGACUUUCUUUAGAGUGUAAGACUUCUGCAACCUUCUCCUUCCCCUAGCAGGAGCUCUAGGUUGGCUCUCCACCUCAAUUUUGACUCCUUGACAGUAUACUUAUGUCUAAUCUACUUCUUUUUAAUCACCCAGAGCAUGUAGCCCUGGCCUAGAUAUAUAUAUGCUAGGCCUACUCCUUUGCAGCUUAUAUCAUACUGUUCAUUAAAUAAGUAACUGUGUAGUUUAUCUAACAUCUGUGUCUCCCAUUUGGAGGCAAAUUCCACAAGGAUAGGUAUUCUGACUGUUUUAUUCACUGCUGUAUCCCCAACAUCUAACACAGGCCCCCACACAUAAAGUUCAGUAAAGUCGUGUGAUAGGAAUGAAUGAAUGAAUGAAUGAAUUGAAUUGAAUUGAAUUGAAUGAUUGACCCACAGUAAUUUUCUUAAGCAGGGGAUGGUUUUGUUUUUGAAAAGAAGUCUUAAUGGUGAAGGAUCUGCUUAUGAAAGGGGAAAACAAGCCUUGAGGCAGUUGGCAACCUAGAGCAGUGGUUAAUGCUUAAGGGGACUCCAUGGCAGUCUGGUCAAGUGCAGGGGAACCUGCUUGGGCCAAAAUAGAGGGAACAAAAGGUUCUGGGAGGGCUGGGAAUGGGAGUGGGGAUGGUGAGUCACAACUUCCUACAUCCAUCCCACCAGUUUCUUCCAUGAUCAUAUUUACUUUGGUCCCUGUACUAUGUUCCCAGGGGACCUGGGGUAAAAGUAGAAGUUGGUUUGUUUAUCUGUUAUACUGUUCAUGUGGAUUACUGUUUGGCAGCAAUGUCUCAAGGAGGGUUAUUGCUAAUCACUUCUGAUGCAUGUGGGCUGGGGCAGAGGUGGCCAAAGCUGGCCUUUUGGGAGAUUGUCCGUGGGAUUUACCAAUUAGCCCAGCAGGCUCACACUUACUCAUGAGACCUGGGCCCAGCUGUGGCCCCUGUCUGGACAUGGGGCCCAGGGACAAAGCAGGAGGCAGAAGUCUUGGAGGCAAGGGGCUUUGGCAGCUUCUUCGGGGACCAGAGGGAAGCAGAAAGGAGAUGGGCAGUCUGGAGGGACAGCCUAGCUCUUGUUAUGCUCACUAGAUCUUAAUGAAGUCCCCUCGAUCUCUGAGUCCUAAGUGAUGGGUACCAGGUCCCUGAGGGAAAGGGACUGAAUCAAAACUUUGAAAGGUCUAAACAUGUUAAAGUUUCUGGCUGAUCUUCAUAUGUCAUUCAAAGUAAAACAAUUAAACCAUAGAAUAAGUUUAGUUCAGUAAUGUAAUUCAGGUUUAUCCUGUGAUGGUUAGUUUCACUGAUGUUUUUCUGCAAAUACCAAAUUCAUUUUAAAAACUUUUUUUCAGUUUUGGUGGUUUUACUUCAGCAGUGCCAUCCCUGAAGAGGGACCUGAGGUAGAGGCCCUGUCACAGAGACCUGAGUGAGAACUGGCUCACUGAGAGGCUGAGUGCAGGGCUAGAGGAAUGGAGGGAAAAGCUUGGGUAACUAACUGAGUGAGGGUCUAGGUGAGGGUCCUGGUCACUGAGGGGGUUCACCUGGGAGGUCAUCACGGGUCUGAGUGAGGGUCCCCAGUCACUGACACUGCUGAGGGUGGGGUGUGGUCAUUGAGGACCUGAGGAAAUGUGCCUCAUCACUAAGGCAUCUGUCAGUAGCACUGCUUACUGAUGGAGCCAUCUGGUUACCAAAACCUAAAGGAGAGGCUACUGUCACAAAUUCUCGAGUAUGGUCAACAGGUCCUAAGUGAGAGGUUGUACUCCCUGAGAGAACCAAGGAGGAUGUUUGGUUCACGGAGUUAGGGUCUCUACCUUCUGAGGGAACUGUGUGGGUUGGGGGUCCUGGCUUUGAGAGGUUUGAAGAAAUAGCUCUGACCUCUGAGAUAUGGCUGAAGAUCUUUCGUCAAAGUAAAUACAAAUAAGGCCUCCAUAUAGGUAGGGAAAACUGUCCAGAGUGGGGUCCAAUAACUGAGAUUCUAUGGCCAGAUAAAGCCAGAGGGGCCCUUAAUUCCUCCUCCCCUUCCUCCUUCAGCCUGAUCUGCAGGUCUUCCAGUCACCAGUAGAUGGCACUGCAGCUUCACACAAGGACAGGUCUGCCGGCUUGUGUCCCAAGGUGGGGUCCAGGUGCGAGCAGGUGAGGAAAGAGAGAGGGAAUUAGUUGCUCCUCUGACCACAUUCCCUGGAGGCAGGGAGGAACCAGGCUACCAAAGCCUAAGCAGAUCUCCUAAACACUGGCCACUUAGAGUCCAAGUCCUCUUAAUCACCAGGCUGAUUAAAUGCAGGAUGACUUUUUACAUUUGAUUCAUUCAUCCAUUCAGUUGUUCAGCAGGCCUAGUACCUGAUAGAGUUUGUGCUAGGCUCUGAGGGAAGAUACAAGAGUGAUUAAAGAAGGUUGCUGUUCUUGCAAAAUCCAUAAUCUUGGAGGUGAAACAUUAACAUAAACAAAAUAUAAUACAUAUGAUAAGGACUAUAAGGAUGUACCCAAUGCUGUAGAAGUCCAGGGAAGGAAAAGAUUUAGGAUCCGGGGAGUUGGUGAACAUAAAGGAAGAAAGAGGUGACAUUGACCCAGGGUCUCAAAGUAUGAUCCGGGUUUUUGUUUGUGAGGCACCAGUAGAGGAAGAUUCCCGGAGUAGAAACAAAAGUGUGAAUAAAGAUGUGGGGUGGGAAGGAGCAUGGGUGUUGAGGGAUCAUUUUGUCCCCAGAAUGUCUACAGUAGAAGGAACAGGGUGGGGAUGGGCUGGGAGGGUGGUAAGGAGUAGGGAUGACAGAUAGACAGGUGGAGGGGGGGAUCGUUAAGAACCUUAUAGCCCAUACUUAGGGAUUUGGUAAUGGCUGUUUAAUGCAUGAAGAAUCAGGAGGGUUUUCAAGUAGGCAGGUGAAAUUCAGGGUUCUGUUUAAUUUGCUAGUAGCCAAGGUGUGGGGUGUGGUGUGGCUUAGGGGAGGGAGAUUGUAUACAGGAACCCAGAUAGGCAACCAAAUUAGAAUUUAUGAGAGUUAAGUAAAGAAGGAGUUAGGGAGAAGAAAACAGAUUUAGGGGUAUUUAGGAGGGAGGAUGAAUAGGAUUUUGUGGCAAAGUAGAUGUGAAAGGAAGAAUGAAGAAUUUAGGCAAAUAAUAAAUGUGAAUAUUUACUGAGCAUUUAAUAUCUGUAACACUUGUCAGCCGUCAUGACAGUUCUCUAUAAAAUAGGAAUUAUCAUCCCCAUUUUCAGAUGCAGAAACUGGUGCUCAGCCAGGCUAUGUAACUUGCCAAAGGUCACACAGCUUGUUCUGUCCCCAACCUGGUUUUCCUGUCUUCAGUCUUACCCCUCUCCAGACCACCCUCCACACUGCCACAAGAUAGAGCUUCUGAAAAUCCUUCCUGAAAAUCCUCCAGUAGCCCUCUAUCAUGUAGAGGAUAUAAUAAAGUCAAAACGCUUCCCAGUUGCACAUAGAGCCCUUGGCUAUCCAGUCCCUGCCACCCUCAACAUUUCCCUGCCCCAUUCUAAGAAUCAGGCAGACAGGGUUGCUGGUACUAACUCCCGAAAGGGCCCACCUCUCUUCCGGUAUGCACUAGUAUGUGUGGUGAGCUGGUGGUGCACACCCCACCCCGAAACCCUAUUCUGACCCUUCUGCCUCCUGUACCUACCUCUACCCUGUUGCCUGACCACCUCCUGCUCAUCCUUCAAGUCUCAGCUUAACUGUUAUUUCCUUGUGACUUCCUUAGCCUUUUGUGAUUCACCCUCAACCUCACGUGGUUAGAUCUUUACAUGAUAUGCCCUGUCCCAGCAUUUCCUAACAUUUACCAUGAUGAUAAUUAAGUAAUUAUUUUCAUAACUAUUGUUAUGACAAUCUUAGUCUCUUCACUAGACUAUCGGGCUUUUUGACAGAAGGGCCCUAAUGGAGGAUAUCCAUUGCAGCUUUUUGUAACAACAAAAAUGCCUGAUUUGCAGGAAGCUCUGCAAAAGACAUGGAUGUCUUUUGGAAGAUGGGAGUGUCCUUACUCAUAAUUAUACUUUAAUAACCAUUCUCAAAAUGUUGGCUUCCUGACACCAAGAUUCUUUUACUACCUGAGUCAGGAGCAUUUCCCCUAGGGGGCUGUAGUAAUGAUUCCACUAUAUUGGAAACUGGUCAUUUUAUAUUUCUCAUGACACACAACGGAAAGGGAACAAAAGGUGUCCUAGUGUUGUCUAGAAUGAUUAAUCUUGAUAGCUAUUAAAGAACAAAAGGUCUGCUGAGUGAAUCUGAAGGUCUCAUUGACUUUAUUAAGCGAUUCAUGAGUCUCACAGCACCCCAUCUAGCAAGUGGAGAGAUGCUCUGAGAAGUGGUACAAAAAUACAAGAUUUUUAUAGGAAGGAGGGUGUGGCAAGAUAUUUUCAGCAGAAAGAAAAGAAGGGUUUGUUUCAAGCAGAGUCAACUUCCCUUCCCUUGGGGGCAGUGGCAGGGGGUCUUAUCCAGCAGAUUAGUUCAUCUUCCUUUGGAGACCAGAGCAUUUCUCUCUGACUGGUUAAGAUUACAUUUCUAUGGGAGACAGAAGUUGCAAUUAUAACUGAACUCCAAGGGUUUGUUGUCACUUGGGGUGCAUCAAAUUGAACACAGGGCAAGGAAAUUUGUAGGCAGUGAACUUAUUAUUACGUAGUACAAGUAAGGAGACAGGGAGAUAGUUCUCAAAGCACUGUCUCUCUGUAGGGUUAGCACAGGGAGCUUUGAUUUAGUGUAUUAGUGGGCAGGGCAGGGAGCUUAGGCACUUCUGGUUCAACUGGGCAGGCCUAACAUGUCCACAUGCUAGUGCCUACAUCGUAUGUUUAAAAAAUAGCAGAAAACUGCUGUAGAAGGAGAUCUUAGUAUUAUAAUGAACUAAAGGUAACUUCAGAACAAUUCAGGGGGCUUCUGUGCAUGUCCUCAGCUCCAGUCCUGCUCAAACUGGCUCGGUAAGGAGAAACCAGGGGAAACAUACUAGCUUCUACCGGCUAUCAGGUGAACACCUAGUUGGGCGUCUCCUUGGCUGGAAGUGUAGGUUCUGUAAAACAAAAUAGAACUGUUUUUUUUCUGUUCCCCUCCUCCCUUCUGCUGAUAGCUUUCAGCCCUCUUACUUGAGUAACUUUGCAGUUGCAUGCUGGUUGACACAAUUAGUGUUAAUUACUAUGAAGACCUGGUUUGGUGACUUGGCUUAAGUGACUCCAUUUUGGUCCUGUGGUCUUCCCUUUUUUUUUUUUUUCUCCCUUUUCCAAUCUAACACCACAGUGUUAGAGAACACCCUUCUUGUUUUCCUUGUUUGUAACAUAUUUCUUUGACGGGGAAGCAGACUCUCAUUAUCUACAUUAUAUAUACAUAGUUGAUCAACCAUAAUAUACACAUCAUUUCAGAACCAGUAAUCAGUAUCAUUAUGAGGAACAUAUCUUUGAAAUACAGAAUAGAGCCCCUGGGUGGCUUCAUUGGUUGAGCAUCUGCCUUCGGCUCAGGUCAU